rnacentral:rRNA from 1 species
GACGAACGCUGGCGGCGUGCUUAACACAUGCAAGUCGAACGGUGAAGCGCCUUCCUUUUUGGUGGGUGUGGAUGAGUGGCGAACGGGUGAGUAACACGUGAGUAACCUGCCCCCUUCUUCUGGAUAACCGCAUGAAAGUGUGGCUAAUACGGGAUAUUCUGGGUCUGUCGCAUGAUGGGUCUGGGAAAGAUAUUGUUUCGGUGGGGGAUGGGCUCGCGGCCUAUCAGCUUGUUGGUGGGGCGAUGGCCUACCAAGGCGGUGACGGGUAGCCGGCCUGAGAGGGUGGACGGUCACACUGGGACGGAGACACGGCCCAGACUCCUACGGGAGGCAGCAGUGGGGAAUAUUGCACAAUGGGCGCAAGCCUGAUGCAGCGACGCCGCGUGAGGGAUGGAGGCCUUCGGGUUGUGAACCUCUUUCGCCAGUGAAGCAGGCCUGCCUCGUUUGUGGGUGGGUUGACGGUAGCUGGAUAAGAAGCGCCGGCUAACUACGUG